GACGAACGCUGGCGGCGUGCUUAACACAUGCAAGUCGAACGGUAAGGCCCUUCGGGGUACACGAGUGGCGAACGGGUGAGUAACACGUGGGUGAUCUGCCCUGCACUUCGGGAUAAGCCUGGGAAACUGGGUCUAAUACCGGAUAGGACUCCUGGCUUCAUGGUUGGGGGUGGAAAGCUUUUGCGGUGUGGGAUGGGCCCGCGGCCUAUCAGCUUGUUGGUGGGGUAAUGGCCUACCAAGGCGACGACGGGUAGCCGGCCUGAGGGGGUGACCGGUCACACGGGGGCGGAGAUACGGCCCAGACUCCUACGGGAGGCAGCAGUGGGGAAUAUUGCACAAUGGGGGCAAGCCUGAUGCAGCGACGCCGCGUGAGGGAUGACGGCCUUCGGGUUGUAAACCUCUUUCAGCUAUGACGAAGCGCAAGUGACGGUAGUAGCAGAAGAAGGACCGGCCAACUACGUGCCAGCAGCCGCCGUAA
rnacentral:rRNA from 1 species